GACGAACCGAGCGAACGUUGUUCGGAAUCACUGGGCUUAAAGGGCGCGUAGGCGGGCAUUCAAGUCUAUGGUGAAAUCCUCCAGCUCAACUGGAGAACUGCCGUGGAUACUGGGUGUCUCGAGGGAAGUAGGGGCGUGCGGAACUAAUGGUGGAGCGGUGAAAUGCGUUGAUAUCAUUAGGAACUCCGGUGGCGAAGGCGGCACGCUGGACCUCUUCUGACGCUGAGGCGCGAAAGCCAGGGGAGCAAACGGG
rnacentral:rRNA from 1 species